rnacentral:tRNA from 1 species
AGGGGGCACACGGAGUUGAAACAUGAACCUAUCGAUCUGCAGUCGAUUGCUCUACCACUGAGCUAUACCCCA